GGGGAAUAUUGCACAAUGGGCGAAAGCCUGAUGCAGCAACGCCGCGUGAGUGAUGAAGGUCUUCGGAUUGUAAAGCUCUGUCUUUUGGGACGAUAAUGACGGUACCAAAGGAGGAAGCCACGGCUAACUACGUGCCAGCAGCCGCGGUAAUACGUAGGUGGCGAGCGUUGUCCGGAUUUACUGGGCGUAAAGGGUGCGUAGGCGGAUGUUUAAGUGAGAUGUGAAAUACCCGGGCUUAACUUGGGUGCUGCAUUUCAAACUGGAUAUCUAGAGUGCAGGAGAGGAGAAUGGAAUUCCUAGUGUAGCGGUGAAAUGCGUAGAGAUUAGGAAGAACACCAGUGGCGAAGGCGAUUCUCUGGACUGUAACUGACGCUGAGGCACGAAAGCGUGGGUAGCAAACAGGAUUAGAUACCCUGGUAGUCCACGCCGUAAACGAUGAGUACUAGGUGUAGGAGGUAUCGACCCCUUCUGUGCCGCAGUAAACACAUUAAGUACUCCGCCUGGGAAGUACGAUCGCAAGAUUAAAACUCUAAGUGAAUUGAC
rnacentral:rRNA from 1 species